GGCCGUGAUAGCCGAGUGGUUAGCGUUGCCUACUGCCAUUCGGAAGGACAGGGUUCGAGUCCUGGUCAGACCA
rnacentral:tRNA from 1 species